GAUGAACGCUGGCGGCGUGCCUAAUACAUGCAAGUCGAGCGAACAGAUGAGGAGCUUGCUCCUCUGACGUUAGCGGCGGACGGGUGAGUAACACGUGGAUAACCUACCUAUAAGACUGGGAUAACUUCGGGAAACCGGAGCUAAUACCGGAUAAUAUAUUGAACCGCAUGGUUCAAUAGUGAAAGACGGUUUUGCUGUCACUUAUAGAUGGAUCCGCGCCGCAUUAGCUAGUUGGUAAGGUAACGGCUUACCAAGGCAACGAUGCGUAGCCGACCUGAGAGGGUGGUCGGCCACACUGGAACGGAGACACGGUCCAGACUCCUACGGGAGGCAGCAGUAGGGAAUCUUCCGCAGUGGGCGAAAGCCUGACGGAGCAACGCCGCGUGAGUGAUGAAGGUCUUCGGAUCGUAAAACUCUGUUAUUAGGGAAGAACAAAUGUGUAAGUAACUAUGCACGUCUUGACGGUACCUAAUCAGAAAGCCACGGCUAACUACGUG
rnacentral:rRNA from 1 species